rnacentral:misc_RNA from 1 species
GAUGAAGAACGCAGCGAAAUGCGAUAAGUAGUGUGAAUUGCAGAAUUCAGUGAAUCAUCGAAUCUUUGAACGCACAUUGCGCCCCUUGGUAUUCCAUGGGGCAUGCCUGUUCGAGCGUCAUUUGUACCUUCAAGCUCUGCUUAGUGUUGCGUGUUUGUCUCGCCUCUGCGUGUAGACUCGCCUCAAAACAAUUGGCAGCCGGCGUAUUGAUUUCGGAGCGCAGUACAUCUCGCGCUUUGCACUCAUAACGACGACGUCCAAAAGUACAUUUUUACACUCUUGACCUCGGAUCAGGUAGGGAUACCCGCUGAACUUAAGCAUAUCAAUAAGCGGAGGA